rnacentral:rRNA from 1 species
AAUGAACGCUGGCGGCGUGCCUAAUACAUGCAAGUCGAGCGAACAGACGAAGAGCGUGCUCGUCUGACGUGAGCGACGGACGAGUGAGUCAUACGUGGAUAACCUACCGAGAGGGCUGGCAUAAGUUCAGGAAACCGGAUCUAGUAUAGGAUAAUAGAGUGAACGGCAGGGUUCAAUGGUGAAAGACGGUUUAGCUGAGACUUGUUGGGGGAUCCGCGUCGCAUUAGCUAGUUGGUAAGGUAACGGCCUACCAAGGCAACGAUGCGUAGCCGACCUGAGAGGGUGAUCAGUCACACUGGAACUGAGACACGGUCCAGACUCCUACGGGAGGCAGCAGUAGGGAAUAUUGCGCAAUGGGCGAAAGCCUGACGCAGCAACGCCGCGUGAGUGAUGAAGGUCUUCGGAUCGUAAAGCUCUGUUAUUAGGGAAGAACAGAUGUGUAAGUAACUCUGCCCGUCUUGACGUUACCUACUGAGAAAGCACCGGCUAACUACGUG